CCUGCGGUUCCGUCCGCAGUAGCCUAUCGACAUCGGCGUGGCUGGUAACGGCUGGGUCGAAUAGCUGUCGAGACAACCACUCUCUUUCCUUUGGAUAGGAAGAACUCCGUGAGGCGUUUUUCCGCACUGCAAGCGUCGAAGCGGUGAGAGGG
rfam:Terriglobus saanensis SP1PR4, complete genome.